UACGAAGGGGGCUAGCGUUGCUCGGAAUUACUGGGCGUAAAGCGCACGUAGGCGGAUUGUUAAGUCGGGGGUGAAAUCCUGGAGCUCAACUCCAGAACUGCCUUCGAAACUGGCGAUUUUGAGUCCGGGAGAGGUGAGUGGAACUGCGAGUGUAGAGGUGAAAUUCGUAGAUAUUCGCAAGAACACCAGUGGCGAAGGCGGCUCACUGGCCCGGUACUGACGCUGAGGUGCGAAAGCGUGGGGAGCAAACAGG
rnacentral:rRNA from 1 species